GAUGAACGCUGGCGGCGUGCCUAAUACAUGCAAGUCGUACGGAAAGGCCCUUCGGGGGUACUCGAGUGGCGGACGGCUGAGUAACGCGUGGGAACGUGCCCCAAAGUGAGGGAUAACGCACCGAAAGGUGUGCUAAUACCGCAUAUGGUCUUCGGAUUAAAGCUUCGGCGCUUUGGGAGCGGCCCGCGUACGAUUAGAUAGUUGGUGAGGUAAUGGCUCACCAAGUCGACGAUCGUUAGCUGGUGUGAGAGGAUGAUCAGCCAGACUGGGACUGAGACACGGCCCAGACUCCUACGGGAGGCAGCAGUAAGGAAUCUUCCACAAUGGGGGCAACCCUGAUGGAGCAACGCCGCGUGCAGGAUGAAGGUUUUCGGAUCGUAAACUGCUUUUAUAAGUGAAGAAUAUGACGGUAACUUAUGAAUAAGGAUCGGCUAACUACGUGCCAGCCGCCGCCGUAA
rnacentral:rRNA from 1 species